rnacentral:lncRNA from 1 species
UUGCGAUCCCGGAGUCCGUCGUUGUUUUAUUCCACCGCUUCCGCCACCUUGAAUAAAUUGUUGAGCUCCACUCUGAGUCUUAACGUGUAGUAGUACUCGUCAUGUCACAUUACUCUGAUGUGACGUGCCCCUUUAUUUUUCGCGAGCAGUAGAGUCACCCUAAGACCACUGUAACAUUUCGUUGUAAUACUUUGUAGAAGCGACCCUCGCUCUACUUGUAAU